rnacentral:rRNA from 1 species
GACGAACGCUGGCGGCGUGCCUAAUACAUGCAAGUAGAACGCUGAAGGAGGAGCUUGCUUCUCUGGAUGAGUUGCGAACGGGUGAGUAACGCGUAGGUAACCUGCCUGGUAGCGGGGGAUAACUAUUGGAAACGAUAGCUAAUACCGCAUAAGAGUAGAUGUCGCAUGACAUUUGCUUAAAAGGUGCAAUUGCAUCACUACCAGAUGGACCUGCGUUGUAUUAGCUAGUUGGUGAGGUAACGGCUCACCAAGGCAACGAUACAUAGCCGACCUGAGAGGGUGAUCAGCCACACUGGGACUGAGACACGGCCCAGACUGCUACGGGAGGCAGCAGUAGGGAAUCUUCGGCAAUGGACGGAAGUCUGACCAAGCAACGCCGCGUGAGUGAAGAAGGUUUUCGGAUCGUAAAGCUCUGUUGUAAGAGAAGAACGAGUGUGAGAGUGGAAAGUUCACACUGUGACGGUAUCUUACCAGAAAGGGACGGCUAACUACGUG